rnacentral:lncRNA from 1 species
UACGGGGAGACCUAAAUCGUGACUCAAUUUACCCUUUUGUAGAGGGAAUACAAGCGUGCUAAGGCUUAGAAAAAGCCAUACUCGUCUAUAUUCCAUAUUUAAGGGGCCUCUCAAGCAAAAAUGAACCCUAUAACUAGCAUGAAAUGCAAAAAUCCUAACAUGGAGGGAAAAGGGGUUCGAGGGGCAUGCAAAAUGAUAAAACUAAAAAGAAUGCAUGACAUGUAAUGAACAUGCAAACAUGUACUAACGGGGGGAAAUCCCUAAGGGUCUAGCGUUGGACUAGCCCAUUCUAUGCAUUCCGACUAGCGUUGGACUAGUGGAAACGUCCAUUCAUCCAUCACAUUCAUUCAUGGCUAAGGAAAGCGAGUAGACAUGCCAAAUACUCAUAAACACAUAGCACAUAACAUUUAGCAUGCUCGACUAGAUGCAAGGCCCUAACAAAGCAAAUUAACACUUAACACGUAGGCAUGCAACCAAGCUAAUGAACCUAUUACAUUCACUAACUAAAACAAAAGGGGAAAGGGAAAAAGGACCAAAUUGCUCGCCACAGCCCUAUCUAUUACAAGCCAAGAGGUGUACACAUUACCCAUUAAAAGAAUAACUUAAUGAAAACAAAAAGUAAAUGACACAAGUAAAAGGAAUUAAAGAAAAGCUAGGAAAGCAAAGUGGACAUGCAAUUCACUUAGCACGUUGAGCCACAUAGGAGAGACACAAAAAGGGAUAAAAGAAAUUAUACCGUCCCCUUUGAAUUGAUGCCCUAAAUGGAGUGAAAUCACUUAUUUAUCCUCCAAAAUAAAAGAAAUGGUCAAGAUACCAAUUUAUUUGGGAAAAUUAAAGAAAACAUGCAAACACGGGCUCACAUGGUCAUAAAGCUCUUAAAUUCAUGCAUGAGGUGCAAUUUAAACAAAGCAUAGUAGUUAAUUGAAGCAAACAAGCAAUGAAGUUGUAAAAUUAAAAACUACCAAGGACCAAAUUGAGAAAACAUUCAAUUGGUUGGGUCAUGGUGGAACAAGGGGGAGACUUGGGGGGCCAAAGUGCAAAUCUUAAAAGCCAUUUGCAUGCAUCUACGUAUGAAAAGACUUUGUUCUAAUUUCUGCAACAUGAACUACCCGACUAUCCCUUUUCCAUUUUAUAUUUGUGGACUUCCUCAAGCUUUAGGACCAAAUCAAAUGCAGUUCGCACCCAACAACAAACCACUACCUGAUCUACUCACUUUACAAUGCAACAAAAGAAACAAUCAAGCCAAAGGAGCCUGCUAAACAACGAAGGAAAUUUUCUGCUGCAACAUUCAUCCAGAAUUUUUCCAACUUUAAGCUUUCAAAUGCAUGUUUCAUAGAAGAUUUCAAACAAAAACCAGCAAAAAUCAUCACUCAAUCACCAUUUAACAACUAAACACUUUGAUUAGCACAAUCCAAUCGUGAACAUCAAAGCAUUAAAGAUCCAGUGAGGAAACAGAAAGACAACAGAUGCGGCAAAAAACCAGCUUUCUAAAUUUCUUAAAGGGAACUUCAUCAUCAAAAACAAUUAUCGAUCCCUAAAGGAACUCAUCACAGCACUUAGCCAUAAAAUGCAGCAAAGAUAGAAAGCAACUUGCGUCAAUUUUCCAGCCAUGGCUCUAGGCAAAACUACUGCAACAAGCAGUUUCAUUUCUUUCUUAACCUUGUUCAGAAAAAUUCAUGCAAAAUAACACAGGUCUAGAUAUGUUUAGCUUAGACAUUACCGCAACAUGUAACGAAACAACACAACGAAACACCAUGAAUGCUUGCUGCAAUUUCAAAAUCCAGCUUUUCAAGACAUCAGACCCAACCAUAACAAACAAACAAAUGAGCACCGAAUGAUCCAACUUCCCAAACCUAUCACCAAGAUAUAAUACUAAUCUCUGAAGAGAGAAAAAUCUAGCAGAGGAGAAGUUGGCCAGACCCCAUAUUCGUUCAUUAGCUUCAAGUUACUGGGUUUUCAUCAACAAAGAUACAACUGACAAGCACUCACAAUUCUAAUCAAAUGGAAACAAAUUAUGCAGCUUGGAAUUUAACCAAGAUUCACCAUUUGAUCAUCAUAUCAAACACAUACGGCGACGAACAUACACAUGAGAUACCGUGAAGCAAACAACAAGAGCCCAGGAGAUAGUUUAAGCCAUUCUGGAAAUCUUUUACUCAAACCAAAAGAUUGAUUUUUCCCAGAAAUUUCUAUAACUAAAACAGAAUUUCGGAAAAAACUGUUGCUGCAGAUAUUCAAACACAAAUAUAACCAAAACCUGGCUCAAAUAAACCUCAUGGGUUUGUCAAGAAAAACUAUAGAAAGACUCCCUACCACCUUAUCAGGAUUCAACACUAAGUAUGCAAACAAAAGGCAAAUCUAAAUGGGAAGAAAAGCUAGCAACAAAAACAGAUUUGUUCAUGCCACCUUUACAAAUUUCUGACCUCCAAAUUUGUGGCAUAUCAGACCCAACCGACAACUUGGAGCAACAAUUUUCACUAAAAAACCUUAACCAUCAGAUUUAUUUCCUCAAAGCAAGAUUAAACAAACAGAUUUGCAACAAAACUCAAACCCUUCGGCUGCCAUAAGAAACAAAAUAGCAAAACAUGUUCAUAACCAAACAUAACCAGAUCUUUGGCAUAUUUAGAGCUCAACCUAAACUUGUAUGAGAAGUAGAGAGCAAAAAGAGAUUACCUCUUGACGCCUUGUAGGGUCAGAUGGACAGAGAAUCGGUUAACAAGAUUACGCCUGGAUGCAGAUUUCAGAGUGGUGGAUUUUCUGGUGAAGAUUGUCCAAGAGCUCUUCUAGCCGCCGCCCUCCUGUUUUCUUGUUGCCCUCCUUUGAUUUUUCUGGUUUUUCCUUUGCCGUUGCUUUUGCUUGCUAUCCGUCACUCUCUCCUCGUAAAAAAAAUCUCCCCUUUCUCUCCUUCUGAAAUUCUCUCUUCCCUAGCCACCGAACUCUCCCCGUUUCCCUUUCUGUUUUUCUUUUUUUCGUCCCAGAACAGCCGCCUCUCUUUUUUCUGGUUCCUUCUCUUUGCUUUUGCCGUAUCUCCCUCUUUCUCUCCCGUCUCCCUUUCGUAGUCCUCCCCCCUUGCGGCUGCCCCUUCUUUUUUUUUUAUACUAGGAACCCCCCUCACCCUAAAACCUUCAAUCCUUCUUCUGCAAUUUGCAGCCAAGGAGCCGCCUAGUCCUCUGUUUGCAAGCUGCGGCAAUACGCAGCUUCAUGCCGCGUUUCUGUUUUCUGUUUUUUUUUUUUAAACAAUAUUGAUAAUAAUAAAAAUAACAAAAUAAUUUAAUUAACCUUGGAUAAAACAAAUAAACUAGAAACAACAAAGUAUAAAAUCCAAUUCUUUUUCAUUUUUCAUUUUUAUCAUUUUUCAUUUUUUCCAAGAAAGCAAUGAAUAAAACAAAAUGACUAAAACAUAUUUUUUUUUGAAUGUUUUCCUUUUCCUUUUCCUUUUUUCCCUUUUUAUGAUUUUUCAUUUUUUCAUUUUUUCACGAUUUUUCCUUUCUCUCUUUUUUUUUUUCAAGAAAUUCUAUGCUAAAAACUUAAAAAAAAUAAAAAUAAAACUAUAAACUAAAAACUAAAAAUCGAAUAAAACUAACACGACAAAUAAAAAAAUAAAAAUAAACAGUAAAUGAAAUUACACCAAAAAUUUGGUGUCUACACUUUAUUAUAAGAGAAAAAUCCUAUACAAGAAUACAAUUUGAACCCAACUCCAACCCUUACAUAUCAUCUCUCAUCUCCCAAGAACCCUCUCUCACUAUCCAUGUAUAAGGCUACAUGUCGUCUCUUGUAUGCCUUUGUGUGUCUCUUUAUAAUAUGUUAAUGUACCUAUUUAUAGGGAAUAUUAUUUGGCCAAAAUUUAAAUAAUAACAGAAAAUCAGUGCUAAUCAGAAUAGAAAAUAAUUAAAUCCUAAACAAAAUAAAAAAUUUCUUAACCACUAUUUCAAAUAACUAAAAUCAAUUAGAAAACUAAUUACUUCCACACAAAAUAAGAAACCUACUUAAAAGAAAUUAAGCUAAUUUCCUAACAGAUGCUAAUGAAUUUUCUAGAAUUAAAGGUUAUAAAUCAGCUAAAAAAUUUGAAAUAGUUUGUGUGAAAUACAUGACGGUAAUCAAGAUAUUAGAGAACAAAAGAAAUCUCUACUUGUUGUUAAACAUGAAUCUUUCAAAAUGGAAUCUCAUAAGAAUGUUGAUAAGUGUAUUAUAGAUUUAGUGAUAUUAUAAAGAUCUUGAAUUGUUUGGUAAAAAAUAUAUUUUGGACGAGAAAAAUAGAAAAAUUUUAAAUGCUUUAUCCAAAGGUUGGGAGAGCAAAGUGAUGGCCAUUGAAGAGAUUAAAAAUUUAAAUUCUAUGUCUAUUGAGUUUCUUAUAAACUCUCUAACCUCCUAUGAAUUGAAAUUUGAAUCUAAAGUGCAAGAGGAGGAAAACAUUAAGGCAAGAGAAGUAUAACUCUCAAAACUUAUCAAGAAAAGGAUGAUUUGCUCUCACUUGAUGGUGAAGAUGUGAAUGAUGUAACUCUUAUGAUGAAAACCAUCUAGAAACUCUUCAACAAUAAGAGAGGAUUUAGAAGAGACGGACCAACCAACAGUCAAUUCUCAAAUUCCACAAAAACAAGAGCAAAUAGCAGACAAAAUUUCAACAACUUUCAAAUUACAUGGAAUGAUUGCAAUUCAAAUGGUGAGAUUGAAGAAAAUUUUGAACGGGUCAAAUGACAUUUAUCGUCAUUAGAGAUGAUGAGGUAUCUUCUAACUAUUCCUCUAAUGAUGAAAUGAUGAUAAUAUUGAGACACUUGUGAUUAAAUUGUAUGAUGGUUUGAAGGAAUUUUAUGCAAAAUAUAAAGAUUUGAAAUCAAGAUCAAUGCUUAGUUAAAAAAAAAUUCAAAUCUUUUUCAACAAAACAAAAUAUUGAAAAAGAAAAAUGAUGAUUUAAAAAAGUUUAAAGUUGAUAGUGUUUGCAAUCAAAGUGAUUUCAAAAAAUAAUUAGAUGAGAAAACAAUGUUUUAUGAAAAGAUUAAAGAAGAACAAGCCUUGUUGAGAAAAAAAAAAUGAAUGAUCCUAGUGAUUUUCUUGAAAAAGAGAAACAAGAUAUUUUGGAAAAGAAAAAUAUUAGGAAUAUUUUGAUUAAUAAAAAUUUUACUACUUAUAGGAAAAAUGGAUUAUGCUUUGUUAGAUCCCUUCAUUUGAGAAAUACUCAUAUUAUGUGAUUAUUGUUGCCAACAUGGUCAUAUGAAAAGAGAAUGUUAUGUAAAAAAAUGUGAAUUUGAGAAUGAAAGCCAUUUAGGUUUUAAAAGGAUAAAACUAAGCCUUAUGGACCCAAGAAUAAAUGGGUCCUAAAUGUGAGCUCUCUUAUAUAGGUAUUCAAAAAGAAUUUAAUCCAAGUGAAACUUGAAAAAUGAUGCAAAAUGCCACUUGGAGUCAAUAGAACAAAAAACUUGAAUGUUUGAAAAGUAUAAAAGAAAAAGGUAAAUCAUGAUCAACAAGAAUGAUAACCAAUAUAAGUAGAUGGAAUGAUAUUGAGGAAUGUUUUCAAAACUCAAUUUUUUUUACCUCAAAUUUGUAUGAAAUAAAUAAGUGAUAUUUGAAUGCUUGAUUGAUGUGUAUCCUAGUAUGUAUUCUUGUGAGAAUAGAACACAUAGAUUUGAUCUGCCUAAUUAUUUUAAAAUUCUAUUUAUAUAUGUCCUAUGUGUGCUUGAUCUUGAGAACCCCCAAUAUUCUUUUUUUCUCUUAACUUACAAAAAAAGGAGGAGUUUCUUGAUAUUUCUUCAUGUAUAAUGUCCCUUUAUAUUUAUCUAUUUUUUGAUGAUGUCAAAAGAGAGAGAAAAUUGAAUUAUACUUCUUUGUAAAAUGGGUUUGUACUUAGGGGGAAUUUAUUUCAUCAAAAAAUUCAUUAUUUUAUUUAUCAUCAUAAAAAAGGGGGAGAUUGAAAACUUAGAUCGAUCAGUGCUUGAUUUUGAUGAAAACAAACAAAAAUGAUGAUUCCUACUAAUUUUUUGCCAAGUGCUUUAUGAGACUAUGGGUAUACAAUCAAAACAAUCAAUAUUGAAAGUAUUCAAAUGCACAAAAAGUGAUUCAAAGGAUCGGACGCUGCUCAAUUAUUCGAAUGUCCAACAUAUAAGGGUCACACUCUCAAAUGGAAUGAUUCGGACUUUGGACAGAUAUUUAAGAUGUCCACUACUUUCGGACACAUUGAUCGGAUGCACAACGGCAGCAUCGGCCGUUUGAAGAAUUUGAGAAGAAUUUGUCUACAUUCUGUCUGUUAUCAGAUGAAGAGGAUCGGAUACAGAAGAAAGUUUCGGCCGUUUGACAGGAGCUAAAAGAAGCUUUUCACUCAAUAAUCGGAUGCACGCUUUGGACACAUCCCUGGUUUUGGGCGUCUGAUAGUCUUAAUGGGUAGUUUUCUAACAACUAGUUUUUUUGAUUGUUAGAGAAAUUUUUUGGGUAAAGUUUCACCAUCUAUAAAUACCCUAUGUAUAGGUGUGGAAACAAAAUAUUGUAUGGGUAAAAAAUACAAGUUUUCAAGAUUGAUUUUUGGGUAAAAAAAUAUUUUGAAUAUUAUAGAGGUGUGAAAAAAGCUCUUAGAUUUAUGAGAUUUCUUACCGAGGAGAAGUAAAAUCUUGGAUAAGAUGAGUCUCACUUGUAAGUAUUUCUUAAUUUGUUGAGUGAGUUUUCAAUUGUAGUUAGUUGAGAGUUAACUAAGAGAGUUGUAAAAUUCCAUGGCUAUACUAAAGGAUUUUAGGGUGAGGAAGGAAUGAGUCUUCACUUGUACAAGUUGGUUAGUAUCACCAUCAAUUGAAAAAACUACUUGGUUUAUUCAAUUCUAAGCUUGGAAGAAACUUGGGAGUUUGUUUGGAUUGCAUUUCUCUCUUCUUUUAUUCUAUUGUAUGGUUAUAUUGUUUCAUUUUUAUUGCUAUUUUGUAUGCUUGAUUGUGUAAUCACUUUGGCUAAUUUUGGUUAGUUAAAAUUGGGUGAAUAUUUGUAAUUACUUGCUUGAUUCUUGAACAACUUAAUUCAUCCCCUCUUAGGUUGUUUUUGGGCCCUAAGAAUUGGUAUCAGAGUUUGAUCUUCUAGAGAUUAAAUUCAAUCAGUUUAGGAGUAAAGAUGGCAAUCAAUAAUAUUUUAUUUUUAGAGAGACAAUCUAUUAUUAGACCACCUAUGUUUAGUGGUUCACUUUUUAGUAGUUGGAAACAAAGAAUAGAAGUUUUCUUACAAUCUAUUGAUAUUGAAUUUUGGUUUAUUGUUAAUCUAGAUUCUUAUGAAACUACUCUUUUGGAUGCAAAUAUGAGUAAAAAUAGAUCUAAAACUAGGAAUGAAUUGAGUGCUCAAGAUAAGUUAAUCUUACUUUAAAUGUAAAAUUUAUGUAUGUUUUGUAUAAUAUUUUAGAUGCCAAUGAAUCUUAUGGAAUUAAAGGUUGUAAAUUGAAUUAAAAAAUUUGGAAUAAAUUGUGUGAGAUACAUGAUGGUAGUCAAGAUAUUAGAACAAAAGAAAUUUCAACUUGUUGCUAAAUAAGAAUUUUUCAAAAUAGAAUCUUAUAAGAAUGUUGAUAAGAUAUAUUGUAGAUCUUGAAUUGCUUGAUAAAGAAUAUACUUUGGGUCAGAAAAAUAGAAAAUUUUUGAAUGCUUUAUCCAAAAAUUAGGAAAGUAAAGUGACGACCAUUGAAAAGGUUAAAGAUUUAAAUUCUAUAUCUAUUGAGUUUUUUUAUAAACUCUCUAACCUAUGAAUUGAGACUUGAAUCUAAAGUGGAAGAGGAGAAAAAUGUUAGAGCCAAGAACUUAUCAAGAAUGAUUUGCUUUCAAUUGAUGGUGAAGAUGUAAAUGUUAUAACUCUUAUGGUAAAAACCAUAAAAAAACUCUUCAACAAUAAGAGAGGAUUUAGAAGAGGCGGUCUAAGUAACAACCAAUUCUCAAAUACUGCCAAAAUAAGAGCAAAUAGAAGACAAAACUUCAAUAACUUCCAAAUCACAUAGAAUGAUUACAAUUCGGAUGGUGAGGUUGAAAAAAAUAUGACAAGGGUCAAAUGGCAUUUAUGGCUGUGGCGACUCCACUUCCCCCUAAGGCGAACUAGAGGGUUGGCGGGCCAUUUGCUUAGCUCUCGCCAGGACUCACGCAAGCAAUCUAGCCCAAAUCAUUCCGAAGAAUAACCUAAGCUAUUACAAUAACGAAUCUCCCAGAAUAGAUCAAUUGCUAAAGCCACAUAAAACUUAACUAUUCACUCUCCAAUUCACGACCAAUAUUCAUUCUUAUUUCUAAGAAAAGGUCCAUUCCCAAACUUUGCCUGAUUUUCAAUUUUUAUGCGAGUAUAUACAUAUAUAUAUAUAUAUAUUUUGUAAAAAGGAACAACAAGUAAUUGGAUAUAUACCCAGUAAUGGUUAAGCAAAAAUUGAAAGGACUUUCAUUCCAUCCAGGUCACACCACAAAUAAUGAAUACAAAACUUGGAAGUUCAAAUAUUCGUAAAAAUUUAAAACAUGCCUAUAGGGCCAAUCACAAGAUAGAUGUAACGUAAUCAUUAAAUUCACAAGGGAGAACCUUACUAGUUACUCAACUAGGUCAAUCCAUUAUAAUACCAGUAGAUCUCAUCUCCUCGUUCAGUUUCGAUUUAGAUCAAGUACUAGGAUCCCAUUGGAUUAUACAAGACUGUCUAUCAAUUUUUCCUUCUAUUAUCUAUCUAACUCUUCUAACGGUUUUGAACCAUUAAUAUCCUUUGACGAGUUAAUCUUAACUUUUCCUCGUGUCUCUUUUCAAGUUCAAAUCGGAUCAAUAUUUUCAAAUUUAAGGCCGUAAGGUUUAAAAGGACACUUUUAUUUCAAACUAAAAUUAUCUGUAUUUUUAAGUUCCGUAAAUCCAAAAAUCACUAGUCCUAUACCAAUCAAAAGUUCUACAUUUGUCCCAAAAGGCAUCCUUUCAAGAUAAAAUUUGUAAAUAAAUGGAUCUUGACCUUAAAUUACAGCUUUAACAAAUAGGAAAAACAAUAAUGAAUUUGACAUUUCAUUUAUCUUAAGAAAAUUUCCGAUGCUCAUAGAAUUUAAGAAAAUUUGGAAAUUUUUACACGGUGAAAAGAGCCAUUGUGAACUUUUAAAUCUAAUAAACGAAACUAAAUUUUGGAUUUUUUUUAAUGAUAUAUGUGUGUAUAUAUAUAUAUAUUACACCAAUGCAUCACAAAUUUUAAAACUGUACGGUGUUCCUUUUUGUAAAAGAAAAAAUUUUUUUUAGCAAAACCAGGUUUAAAAAUUAUUUCCUUUCAACUUCAAAUUUCAUUUUCAAGAAUCAACGUUUAAAAUAUUAAGCAAAAUUUUGCCAAUGAUUUGUAAGAAAACAGGGCUAAAGAUAACUAAACGUGUUCGGCCAGCAGCAAUACUACCAAAAUUUUCACCGAUCCUAUCAUCACUUCCUUAUUAUAAUUCAUCAAUCUCAUGAAUUAACCACAAUAUGCCAUAAUCAACAUAUAUCAAGCUCUCUUAUCUUAUGCGGCAAGAAUCACCAAAAUUUUACACUAUGAAGGAUAGAGAAUUCCCGAGGCAUCUAGCCUAGUAAUCAAAGUCCAAGGAAUCUCUUCCAUAACCCAAGCUCAAUUAACCGGAAAUCAUUGAAUUUAACCAUAAACUUGUACAUCUAACGAGUUCAAACACCUAUCUCAUCCAAAACUCCAACCCUAAUUAUAACAAGUCUUAGAUCUCCAAAGUUUAUCAUAAAUUUUGUCACACUCGCACUAUUUGAAACUUCUUAAUAACAUCUUCUCUUAUCCACUAGUUUACCCCUUUUUUUUUUUUUUUUUAAAACAAGGUCAUACAAGAGGGAGAAUAAUCAACCAAAGUGAGAGCAUGUCAUUGCAUGAGUCGAUAAUGAAAAUAAAACUUUGCAUGUGUACUUCCAAACAAGUUAACAAGCCGACAUGAUCAGGUACAGAAUUUAUAGCAUUCAAAUACUUCAAAAGGGAUCAAAUAUCAUGCUUAACAAAACAUAUAGGCCAAAGCACAAGUAUCACCCCAACUAUCAUAAACUAAAGGUAUAAAAGGUCGUGCUUUAUAGUCUAGCUUGUAACUGAGCGAGGGAACUUAAUUCCCUUAGGUAAGGCCAACCUCAAUUUGAACAUUAGAGCUACAACAACUAUCUUUUCAAUUAAAGUUCUGCAUUCCAUCGUAAUAUCUAUCCUUUAACAAGCACGGGUCACCACAUACUUAACUAGGUACUACAAAAGGUAGGCCUUCCAAAUUCCAAGACAUAAUUCCAGUUAUGUUCCCAAGGCAAGAUCAAGGUAUAUCAACUCUAAAAUAUAUCCAGUGGCAAUGCUCAAGCACUAAAGGUUAUCCCAAACAAAUUAAUCAUUUAUUUCCCCAUAACUUAAAUCAAGAACGCCUCCAAGCAAAUGCCAUUAUUCAAGAAAUUUACUUACUAUCUUUUAAACAGUGUUUAAUCUCUUACAAUCUUCUUCUCUCUUGCUAGUCUAGCACAAUAAUCCUCAAUUAUUGAAUCUUAAUAACCAUCGAAACCACAAUUGCUCACUACUUCACUUUUUCACUUAAUAUUCAAACGAGCCCGAAUCCCACUGUCCGGCAUCCUCAACUUUUAGAAUUUAGGAUACACUACAGAGAUCUGAAACCUAGAGUUCUGAUACCACCUGUGGUGACCCCACUUCCCCCUAAGGCAAACUAGAGGGUUGGCGGGCCGUCUGCCUAACUCUCGCCAGGACUCGCGCCAGCAAACUAGUAAAAUCCUUCCAAAAUAUAGCCUAAACUAUUACAAUAUUGAUCCUCCAAAAUAGACCAAUAACUAAGACCACAUUAACUUCAGAGAUAAUAGCACCUUCAGAUAGCGACUCGUCGAUUCUUAAACACCUUACGCGUUACAAACCAUGGAAUAAAAUCAAACAACGCCAAUUAACAAAUUCAUACUCACCAAAUACAUUCUUACAAGCUAAUUAACAAAUUUACACAAGCCACAUAACCAAUCUAGGGUUUACACUUUUCCAGCUUCAAGUGGCAACCCGAAACAAAACUACAUUGUUUAAUCCGAAAUACAUUACAACUACAGAGCUAAGUCAUAAGGUUCAAAUACAUUCAUAAGAAAAUAAAAGUAGGCUCAGAUCUCUCAAAUGUCAAGACCUGUCAAGGAAAACAAAUAAACGUGGGGUGAGCUAUAGCUCAGUGGUGCCCCAAAACAUGCAAUCAAAUAAAACAAAUAACACGCAUUGAUUUCAACUAGAGUAAACAACUAGGAAAGCGUGUAACAGUACAAGGUAGGAUACAGGGCUCUCAGGAGCCAUUUCUCCACGAGCUUGAUCAAAAUUUUCCGUAGUCGAACCCCGUCAACUUUCACUAUCUAAGGUCCAUGUAGAACUUCUUAUUUUUCUUAACUCUGGCCACCAAUUAUACCCCUAUUCAGGACCCGAACGCCAAGCGCGAAAGUGGUAAUACUCGAGUAUACCUUAAUAUAGGCUGGUCGAGGGAUUCACCCAACGACGUUACGUCCAACACGUGGCUACUAGGUCAGGAUAAGAGGCCCUCCCACCUUUAAGGUGUGGUACAUUCCCCUGCCUAGUGAUUUAGUACUUGAGAUAGGAUAAGAGACCCUCCCACCCUCAGGUGUGGUACAUUCCCCUACUCAGUGCUUAGCAAGUGCAAGCAGGAUGUUCACGAAAACAUUUCACACAAGUCACCACUCGAAAGGCUAGUGUGAUAAAGUACACACUGCUCACUUCGAUGGAUCAGAAACCAUUUUUCAGUUUUCACAUAUCAAGUCAAGAAAGCACUUUAAUCAAGUAGGCAUAGAACAAGUAGGGACACUUACCUAGGAGUGAAGCUCAAAGGUCAAGCUGGGAUUCAAAAUUCCACGUCCUCGCUAUACCCUAGAAAACCAGGUUUUAAAACUAUAAGUUUUACUAUACAAAUGCUUGAUUUAUAUACAAGAUUAUCGGGUUUUAUAGCUAGAUUAUUUUCUCGAAGUAACUCAACCAUUCUUUUGAAAUUAAAACUAGUAAAAAUGAUAAAACAUUCCGUAUGGUUUCUUUUAAGAAAAAUACUUUUCUUUCUAGAGGAGCAAAUAGAACUUAUUUAUGUCAAAUGGGUUUUCUUGCCAAACAAGUUUUCUACGGCUUUUGUUUAAAACUAUUAAAAUCUCGCGUUUGUAACGAGUUUCUCAAAAACAACUAGCCAGGGACAAAUUUUAAGGAAAGAACAGAAAAUAAAAGAAUACCUAGGGUUUUAAAAGCAAGUGAAAUCAUUUUCUAAAAAUAAUAAAGCUAAUUUAAGCUAGGAAAAGAAAUAACUAGUUGACAAUGUAUUUCAAAUCCCGAAUUUCUCACGUGAUCGUACAAGACGAAUUUUUUGUAGUUUAAUACAUAGAGUAAAAUAUAUUCACGUAGCCCGAUUUGAAAAUACUCAAGUUCACAGGGUCAAAAUGAACUUUUCAGAUUCCGAUUCACAAGCACAUUAUAUCUCAGAUUUGCCAAUAUAGCAAAAUCACAUUUCAAACAGCAAUAUCACUUGGACUUCGUCAAUCAUUAGCCCUGGGUUUCAACAGAUUCAUAUCUGAUUAAAAUUAAACAAAUGACAAAGGCUUCAUCAAUCAUUAGCUCUUGGUAUCCAACAGGCUCAUAUCAGAUCACAAUUAAACAAAUAAAUUCAAGGCCUCUAGGCAAUUCCAUCGACUAAACCGCAAGGGUUUUAUCCACCAAGUGAAACUAAUAACAUGUAAUUCCAGCAGUUAAUUCCAUCAAAAUUUAACGCUUGUGCAAUUCACUCAAUUAGCCAAGAAUUUCCAUCUCAACAUUUUAGCCAUAAACAUUAAAUUGUCACCCCAACUUUCUCAUGCAUGACCCUCUUAAAAUAUUCUAGAGUGAAAUCAACAAGUGUGGAAUAUUUUACAGCUUGUCAAACUUUAAAUGCAACAAUUUGGAAUCCCAAAAUUCCUAAAGAAAACUGGAAAAAUCUUUUCUUCUUCACUCGGCUAUACUGGAAAAAUUCCAGCAGCUUCAUUUAACUAUUUCCAGUUCAAUCUCCCAACAUAUCAAGAGUUUCACAUCUAUAUAGCUUACAAGACUUAAGACACACGUAUAUCAGGCAUUUCUAAACAUCAUUUCCAAAGAAAAUUUCCAAAAACAAGCUGCAAUUCCAGCUUCACUCCCUCGGCACAAACAGAAAUUUUUCCAGCACUUAGUUGGUCAUAAUCCAGCUUUUCUUUCGGCCAAAGCCUUGUAUUUGGCACUCAAAUCCAGCAUGCAACUCCUUAACUAAUUAAUUAACGUUUCUAGUUCAAAAUCAGAUUCGGAUAACAGCCACAUUCAUCCGAAAUUCCAGAAACUUGUUCAGCUCUUCUCGGCUAAUCUUGCAUGCAACAGAAUCCAUUUCAUUUUUUUAUUUUUCUGGCUUAAUCCGAGCUAACUAACCUCAUGCAAGACUUAAUCACUUAGUUUUUUAGUUAGCUAAUCACAUUUAUGAGCUCAGAUUACUUCAGAGAAACAAGAUUAAAGCGGCAGUUCCAUUUCAGCUUCUCGGCAAACCCAUUUCCUUCAAAAUUAGAUUUUUCCUCUUAUUCAAUUCAUCAUCCGAACGCCUAAACUUCACAUGCAUGGCCAUAAACAAUUUAAUCUACCUCUGAUCAACUCAUCUUAGCUCGGAAAUUACCUCAAAUUGAAGCUUAUACACGCGACAAGAAAGCUGUCAAAUUCUCCUCCUCUCGGCUCGCGCAAGGACUGCAGGUGUUGGUCCUGGUUGCGGAUGGUUGCAGCUGUGGUUUUGAUGGCUGGAGCUGAUGAAGGUGGUGAUGAUCAGCAGCUCCCGCAACUGCCUCUUGCUCUCUCUCACUCUCUCUCUGUCUCUCUCACUUAACUUGCUCGGACAGAACAGAAAGGUUGCCGCUCGUGCGGCUUCCUUUCUUUUCUUUCCUCUCGGCUUGCAGAGUGCAGCUCUCUCUCACUCCUCGUCGAUGAUAACAAGGCAAAGGAGAAUGUUGUUGUGGGUUUGAGGUGUGGUAGUGUGGAGAUGAGAUGGAGAUAAGUUGCGGAUGAGGGAGUUGAGUGUGCGAGUGGAAAAGAAAUGCAGUCCGGCAGAGAAUGGAAAUUUUCUGAUUUGAAGAGUGGCCAAUGGAGCUCGAAUGGUUGCAUGGAAAUUUCCGAGAUAGUGGAGGGCUAUUUUAGUCUUUUCUCGUUUCCUCCAAAUUUCUACUUAAGUCCUCAAUUCUAGUCUAAUUCCAAAAUUUACCCCAAAAAUAAUUGAAUGCCUAACGAUAUACUAAUCUCGCAAAGAUUCAAUUAUCGAGAUUUUAACGUCCUAAGUGUAUCCAGUGUCCUUGUAACGGUUUAUCUAAAAUAUAUCGAUUUCGUCUUAAUUCUAGGGUUCCCGUUAACACUUAACGUUAUUAACACUUAAAAUUAGCUAUCGGAAUUCAAAGGAUUAAUAUUAAAGCAAUAAAAUACUCUACAUCAAGAAAUAUUAAUUUAGCUUGGCAAAAAUUCAAAUAGUUUAGUAUGUUGCACAAUUAAAUGAGUUGUAUCAUAAGAAUUAUUUUUACAUACCUAACUAAAACAAAUAAUAAUAAAAUUUAUUCAAAGUCUAAAAUGCACAUGCAACAAGUAUAUAUAUGUAUAUAUGUAUAUAUAUAUAUAUAUAUAUAUAUAUAUAUUUUUUUUCAAGGCUCUCACAAUGGCCAUUAGAGAUAACGAGGUAUUUUUUAACUAUUCCUCUAAUGAUGAAAAUGAUGAUGAUAUUGAGCCAUUUGUGAUUAAAUUGCAUGAUAGUUUGAGCAAAUUUUAUGCAAAAAAUAAGGAUUUGAAAAUCAAGAUCAAUGCUUUGUUAAAGAAAAAUUCAAAUCUUUUUCAAGAAACUAAAAUGUUGAAGAAGAAAAAUGAUGAUUUAAAAAAGUUCAAAGUUGAUAUUGUUUGCAAUUAAAGUGAUUUGAAAAAAAAAAUUAGAUGAGAAAACAAUGUUUCAUGCAUAGAUUAAGGAAGAACAAGCCUUAUUGAGAAAAAGAAUGAAUGAUCCUAAUGAUUUUCUUGAAAAAGAAAAACAAGAUAUUUUAGAAAAAGAAACAUAUUAAGAAUACUUUGAUUAAUAAAAAUUUCACUUUCUAAUAAAAAUAUUAGGAAUAUUUUGAUUAAUAAAAAUUUUACUACCUAUAAAAAAAAAGAUCAUGCUUUGUUAGAUCCUUUUAUGUGAGAAACACUUGUAUUUUACAUGAUCAUUGUUGUCAAUAUGGCCAUAUGAAAAGAGAAUAUUACAUGAAAAGAAAUGUGAAUUUGGGAAUGUAAACCAUUUAGAUUUUAAAGGGUAAAACUAACCCUUAUGGACCCAAGAAUGAAUGGGUACCAAAAGUGAGGUCUCUUGUGUCGGUAUCCAAGAAAAAUUUAAUCCAAGUAAAGCUUGAAAGAUGAUGUAAGAUAUCACUUGGAAUCAAAAGAACAAGAAAUUUGAAUGUUUGAAAAGUGUAAAAGGAAAAAGGUAAAUCAUGAUCAAUAAGGAUGAUAACCAAUAUAAGUAGAUGGAAUGAUAUAAAAGUGUGUUUUCAAAACUCAAUUUUUUUACUUCAAAUUGUGUAUGAAACAAAUGGGUGAUAUUUGAAUUCUUGAUUGAUGUGUAUUCUAGAAUGUACUUUCGUGAGAAUAUAACACAUAGAUUUUAUAUGCCUAAUUAUUUUGUAGUUCUAUUCAUAUAUGUCCCAUGUGUGCUUGAUCCUGACAACUUCCAAUAUUUUUUUGUUCUUGACUUGCAAAAGAAAGGGGGAGUUUCUUGAUAUUUUUUCAUGUAUAAUGUCUCUUUAUACUUAUUUAUUUUUUCAUGAUGUCAAAAGAAGGAGAAAAUUGAAUGAUAUUUCUUUGUAAAACAGGUUUUUACUUAGGAGGAGUUUAUUUUAUCAAAGAAUUCAUCAUUGUAUUUGUCAUCAUUAAAAAAGGAAGAAUUGAAAACUUAGGUUGAUCAAUCCUUAGUUUUGAUGACAACAAACCAAAUGAUGAUUCAUACUAAUAUCUUUCCAAGUGCUUUGUGAGAAUAUAGCUAUACAAUCAAAACAUUUAAGAUUGAAAGCAUUUAAAUACACAAAAAGUGAUUCAAAGGAUCGGAUGCUGCUCAAUUAUUUGAACGUCCGAUAUAUAACGAUCACACUCUCAAAUGGAAUGCUUUGAACGCUGGACAGAUAUUUAGGACGUCCACGACUAUCGGACGCAUUGAUCAGAAGCACAACAACAGCAUCGGCCGUUUGAAGAAUUUGAAAAGAAUCUAUCUACAUUCUGUUAGCUACCGAACGAAUAGGAUCGGACACAGAAGAAAGAUUCGGCUGUCCGAUAGGAGCUAAAAGAAGCUUUUCACUCAGCAAUCGGACGUACGCUUUGGACACAUCCUUGGCUUCGGAUGUCCAAUAAUCACAAUUACUAGUUUUCUAACAACUAGUUUUUUGACCUUUGGAGAAGCCUUUGAGGCAAAAUUUCACCAUCUAUAAAUACUUCUAAGUAUGAGAACAAACUAGACUUUUGCCUACAUAAUAUGCAAGUUUUCAAGAGUGAUUUUUGGGUAAAAAAAAUAUUUUGAAUAUUGUAUAGGCAUGGGGAAAGUUCUUGGAUUUGUGAGAUUUCUCGUUGAGGAGAAGUAAAACCUUGGAUAAGGUGAACUUUACUUGGAAGUAGUUCUUAAUUGGUUGAGUGAGUUUUCAAUUAUAACUAAUUGAGAGUUAAUUAUGAUAGUUGUAAAACUCCUUGGCUCUACUAAAGGAUUUUAGGGUGAAGAUGGAAUGAGCUUUUACUUGUACAAGUUGGUUAGUGUCACCAUCAAUUGAAAAGUUAUUUGGUUGAUUUUAUUUGGUUUAUAUUUCUCUCUUUUUUCUUUUAUUCUAUUAGAUGGUUAAAUUGUUUCAUCUUUAUUGCUGUUUUGUAUACUUGAGUGUGAGAUCACUUAAGCUAAUUUUGGUUAUUUAAAAUUGGGUGAAUAUUUGCAAUUACUUGCUAGAUUCUUGAACAACCUAAUUCAUCCCCUCUUAAGUUGUCUUUGGGCCCUAACACACUUUAUAUAGGCACAACAUUAUAAUUUCAAAAUCGAAUGACAAUACAUGGAUAAUUUAUGUAAAGAAAAUUUAUUAGGAAGAGGAGAAUCCUAAUUUAAUAUAUAUUUUUAUUCUAAAUACUAUUUAAACUAUUUGUUGUAUGACUUCUAGAUUUAACAUUCAAUCAAUUAUUUUUAGGGAUCGUGGUUACAUUAACAAAUAAAGGUAAUUACCAAAAUGAAGUACUUGUAUCGAUUUUUGGAAAAACUCCCUAUUGUUUUUCUUGUCUUUCUUUUGUAUUAAAUCAAAUAUUCAAUACUAAAGUUUUAAUAUUUCUUGGCUGCUGAGGUUUUGGCCUAGUGAUAAAAGUUGAGACGAUAAAACUUUGAGAUUUUGGGUUCAAAUCCCCUUUCUCCUCCCACUUCUUAAUUCCACCCUUUCCCUACUUUAAAAAAAUUAAAGAAAAGAUAAUACAAUUUUAAUAUAUUUAUAUUUAUGUUCAUCUACAUUGACAAUUCUGUUAAAUAAUUGAAAAGCAGAACAUUUUUUGGCCUAGCAAUAGGGAAAUUUAAGGUUCUGGCGGCAGAGGGUCUAUCUCCAGAGCUUUGGUUAUGGCUGCCCUCCAGCCGCUGGUGGAGGGGCACAAGACUUCCCCUAUAAAGGAAAAGUCUUUCUCCCAAUUAUUUUCCAGCCCUGCAACAUCCCCCAUUCGGCUGCCGCCUGUAUCAUUGUACAAGGGGGAGGCGGCUGUCAUCUUCAUGAAGGAAGAUGCUGAGAAACUUGCAGCACCUUUUCGCAAUUUUCCCAUGGCAGAUCGGUGCUGGAGGACAUCAGGAAGUUUUUCUCUACACUAAGCCUGCAGGACCAUGUUUCGGUAGGUUUGUUGGACUACCGGCAUGUCCUCAUCAAAUGCACUGUUGAGGAAGAUUUCAACCGGAUAUGGACGCGUGGUAUCUGGCAUCUAGGGAGGUAUUCGAUGCGGGUUUUCCGUUGGACCCGAGAUUUUCACGACCACAGAGAAUCAUCACUGGCUCCAUUGUGGGUGUCCUUGCCGACGCUACCAGUUCACUUUCAUGAUAAACACUCCUUGUUCUGCAUCUUGGCUCCAGUUGGAAGGCCUCUCUUUGUCGACACGGCUACGGCAGCAGGGACUCGUCUGAAUGUGGCUAGAGCGCGUGUUGAGAUUGAUCUUUUAAAACCACCCUGCUCCCGGGUGUGGGUGGCAGUUGAAGAGGAGCCUGGGUUUUGGCAAAAAAUUGUUAUAGAGGAUCUGCUGAAAUACUGCUCUACAUGUUGGUGCCUGGGACACUCUGUUGAGGAGUGUAGGAGGGAUCCGAAAGUGCAGGGAGCUACUAGAACUCGAGGACAGACUGGGGCUGUGAUGCGAACGACGCAACUUCAGGUUGCAGCAACUGACAGAAAGCGUGUGAUUGAUACCAGUGGGGAUGACUGUGUGGUGCCGGAGCGCAGGUCGAUUGUGCAAGAUGCUGUCAAGGAUGAUACCCAGCCACUGCAAGGAGAAGCGCCUCAUGGAGCAGAUGUCCCUGUGUGCGAUGGGGAGCAUCUCAGGGAGGAGGAGCAGGAGUGCAUGCGGCCUGGGCAUGUUGAGGAGGCCAUGGUUCACCCAGCACCACCAGUUUUGGUGUAGCAUUCGGUGCAAGAGGAGGUGUCCCCAUUGGCACAGGGGGGCCAGGUUGCUGUUGAGAGCAGUGUUGCUGUUGACAGCAUCGUGGGAGUAUCAGACUCAGUUGUGUGAGAGAUAGCGGGCUUAGCAGAGGUGAGCACCAGGUGGUUGGAAUCAGCAACCGACGAUGGGACAACGGCUGAGGUGGAGGAGGACUUGCUGCAACUUCCAUGUGUGGCUAGAAAUUUAUCUCCGAGGGGGGAAAGGCUGCCAAGGACUCAAAGGGCUUCACCUUUGCUACAACUCAACAUUAAUCAAUCCGCGGUAAUCGAGAAUGCAGCAAAGAAAGCGAGGACCAGGGAUAUAAGGGCGAGGUUCCCGUUGGAUAGAUAGCUUCGGUCUUCGUCAAUCUUUUUGCAAAAUUUCUUCCAGGUUCUAUCAUGAUUAACGGUCUUUUUUCAAAUAUCUGAGGGGUCUCUAGACCACUUAAUCUAAGAAGAUUAAUUAAACUAGUUCUCUUACAUAGCUUGAAAUUGGUCGCUAUGUGUGAACCAAAGCUGGAUUUAGCUCAAAUUCACUCCAUACGUUUGCAUCUACAUUUUGACUCGGUGGUAGCUAAUGACUUAGCAGAUAUAUGGGUGUUUUAUAGUUCACCGAUCACUUGUACGAUAAUUGGGACCUCUGAUCAGCAUGUAUCGAUGUCGAUUCAACAUCCGUGGCUACCUAAUUCCUUUAUUUUUUCAUUUGUCCAUGCUAAGUGUACAAUUGUGGAGUGGAGGGGAUUGUGGCAGGCACUCCUUCGUGACAAACCCAGCUCGCUUCCCUGGUACAUAUGUGGUGACUUUAAUGGAAUUAUGGCACCAUAUGAGAAGCGUGGGGGCCGACCUUUUAGCAACUCGGAGGGUUUGGAGAUCAUGACAUUUAUGGAGGAAGCGGGAGUUUUUGAUGCGUGAUUUUCCGGUUCUUGCUUCACAUGGUGCAAUGAGAGAAGGGGUAGAGCUAGAAUAUGGAACGCUUGGCUAGGAUGUUAAUCAAUGGAGAUUGGAGGCAGCCCGUCUCUGUGACCCACUUGGCCAGGCAUCCCUCUGAUCAUGCACCGUUAAAAAUCUCAUUCAAGACUCCGGUGGAUAGUAAACUGAGACCUUUCCGAUUUUUAAAUGUUUGGACAUCUAAGACAUCUCUGUUGGAUGUUAUUCGAGGUGCCUGGCAACGAGAGGUUGGUAAGAAACACAAUUGGAGUUACGAAAAGCACACGCAGAGUUCCGUCAAGCGCUCUUAGUUGAGGAAAGAUUUUGGAGCCAGAAGGCCCGAGUUAAAUGGCUGCAACAAGGUGAUUGCAACUCCAAAUUUUUUCACGCACUGUUCAGCAGCGAAGAGUGCAAGGAGCUAUACAUAGAAUUAAAACCAUGAACGGAGAAUGGCUGGAGGAGGAUUCGGACAUUACAGCUGAGGCAGUUCGGUAUUUUGAAGAGUUAUUUUCUGGACCUGAGAUGGCUGCCACGGAGUUGUUGCAGUUACUCCCGAGUAUUGUUACAGUGGAGGAUAAUGAUUUAUUAGAGGCUUGCCCAAUGUUGGAGGAAGUAAAGCGAGCUAUUUUCGAUAUGGAUGGGGAAAGUGCAGCUGGCCCAAAUGGCUUCACGGAUAAGUUUUUUACCUUUGUAUGGGAUAUUCUUGCACAGGACAUACGUACUGCAGUUGUAAGCUUUUUCUGUGAGGCAGAGUUGCCUCAAUUUAUUACAUCUACAUUUAUAGUAUUGAUCCCAAACGUGACCAACCCCCAGGAUUUUUCUCAGUAUCAGCCAAUUAGUCUUUGUAAUUUUUUUAACAAAGUGUUAUCCAGAAUUUUGGCCACUAGGUUAGCCACUAUUUUGCCGAGACUUAUAUCCCCCCAACAGACGGGUUUCGUGAAAGGCAGGAACAUCAUUGAAAAUUAUUUGCUUGCUCAGGAAAUUAUGAUGGUGAUGGGUAAGAAGGCCAGAGGGGGUAAUGUAGCUUUAAAAUUGGACAUGUCCAAAGUUUAUGAUCGGGUUUCAUGGUUCUUCCUUUUAAAUGUGCUUCGCAAAUUUGGUUUUGGAGAGCGUUUUAUUGAUAUGGUGUGGAGGCUAGUAUCUAAUGUUUGGUUCUUAGUCAUUAUUAAUGGAGCGUCGUAUGGGUUCUUUUAGGGGUGACAAACGGGUCGAGUUCGGGUUGGCGGGUCGGAUUGAGGCUUAAGUAUAACAAAGAACCUGCUAACCCGAACCCGACCCGCCAACCCGAAAUGGGUCAGGGUACCUGACGCGAACCCGAAAAUUUCGGGUUGGCGGGUCGACCCGAAAUGACCCGAAACUUAAUUUUAAUUUAUUAAUUUAUCACUGUAAUUUCUAAUAAAAUCAAUUUUUUCACAAAAUUAAUUACAUCAUCAAGUAAUAAAAAUUUAAAUAAAUAAUUUCAAACCAAAUCUAAAAUAAAUUAAACACCAUAAAAGUGUUUUAUUCCAAACCAAAUAUAAUUUAAAUUAAAACAACAUAAAAGUAAAAAAUAACAUAAUAUAUUAUUUGUCCAAAUAUAAUAAUUUUAACUUCACACAAGUUAAAUAAAUUCAUUUAGGAUUAAGUAAUUAAUGCCUUUGGAAAAAAAGAAUGAUUUAGUUUAGUUAGAUAAAAUAAUUUUUAUGUUUAUUAAAUUAGUUUUAAUUCGUAAACGGAUCACAUCGGGUCAUAUCAGGUCACCACGGGUUGACCCGAAAUUGACCUGUUUUCUUUUCGGGUUCAUCGGGUUCGACCCGAUUCUGACCCGAACUCCCAAAACCUCAACCCAAACCCAUUAAUUUCGUGUUAGGUUCGUGUCGUGUUUUCGGGUCGUGUCAGGAAUUGUCACCCCUAGGUUCUUUAAAUCGAGCAGAGGUCUUCGGCAGGGUGAUCCUCUAUCACCAGCUUUAUUUGUUAUUGGGGAAGAGGUCCUGUCAAAGGGUUUGAAUAGCCUUACCUCCCAGUAUGGUUACGUAGGUUUCAGUGUUCCCCGGGGAUGUCCCCCUGUGACUCAUUUAGCUUUUGCCCACGAUGUGAUUAUUUUUGCCAAUGGUUCGGCAAGGUCUCUUAAGGACAUUAUGUCUAUGCUGGAGUUAUAUCAAAGGUCAUCGGGACAAUUGGUGAACAUCCAGAAGUGUGGUUAUUUGGUGCAUCUGUCAACCGCUUUGAGUUGUUGCAGGGUGAUUGAGCACAUUACGAGUUUUUCUAGACAGAAGUUUCCGGUUCGUUAAUUAGGUUUUCCACUAUAUAUUGGGAGGUGUAGAUCAUCCUUUUUUGGAGGACUAUGUCAAACUCUUACUGGGAGAAUUUGUCGUGGAAGUCGAGAUUACUAUCACGUGAGGGUAGAAUGGUGUUAAUUAAGCACGUUCUUUCAUCUAUUCCGACUCACCUACUAUCUGCUGCGGUGGUGCCAGCUGCCGUAUUUAGUAUGAUAGAAAAGAUUUGUUCCAAGUUUUUAUGGGGGUCUUUGGAUGAAAUAUCUAAAUACCACUGGAUUCCGUGGUCUCAGUUGUGUUAUCUAGAGGUGGAGGGAGGUAUUGGUGUUCGAAGAAUAAGGGAUGUCUACACGGCAUUCUCGUGUAAACUCUAGUAGAAUUUUCACAUAGACAUGUCACUCUGGUCGGCUUUUAUGCGAAGAAAGUAUUGUAGUGGAAUUCAUCCAUGCCAGGCGGAUAUCAGGCUGUAUGAUUCAGCUACUUGGAAACGUAUGUUAAAUGUUAGCUGACAGAUUGAGCUAUCGAUGUUGUGGAUGGUGCUUGAGAGGGCGUGUAGUUUCUGGUAUGAUAACCGGCUGGGGAAUGGUGCUCUAUUUUUGAAAAUGACUAGUGUUCCGAAUCUUUCCUUUGAGGAUUUCAUACGUGAUGGUAGAUGGGAUGGAUAGUUACUGGCUCAGGAACUUCCCCCAGAUGUGGUCACCCUAGUGAUGCGAAUGCCUGUGCCAAAGGAGGGGCGAGGGGACGAGGCUGUUUGGAUGCCGUCAAAGUCUGGAGUUUUCACAUUAAAAUCUGCUAUCAAGAGGUUCGCCAGGCUCGUGCCAAUUCGGUUGUACUUUCUCACAUAUGGCACGACUGUAUUCUGUUGAAAAUCUCAUUUUUCAUGCUCCGACUACUUAUGCGGAGAUUGCCUCUAGAUGAUGUUCUGAGGAACAUGGGGUUUCACUUACCAUCCAAGUGUCGUUGUUGUGAAGCAGCGGGAGAAGAAUCGUUGGACCAUGUAUUUUCUAGGGGACAGACAGCCAUGGAGGUUUGGACCCAUUUUAAUGAUGUGUACGGCCCUGUCUUGCCAAAUGAGAAUAUAUGAGCAUGGCUGGUAUCAUGGUGGAUGGCCCACCCCAAUUAGCCUACAAACGGAAUAUUGUAGUUAAAAUUCUGCCGAGUUUCAUUUGUUGGAAUAUUUGGAAGGCGAGGAAUAAAGCUGUUUUUGAAGGCAGGAAAAUGCGUAGUAAGGAUAUCUGCUGGGCCAUUUUCUAGGAUGUGGCAACCUUGUUUGAGGCUCAAUUCGCGCAGCAAGCUAAACGGCAAACAUUCCAUCACUUUUAUGACCUUAUCUCUCAGUUACGGCCGGUAUACGAGAUCCAACUUCUGCAUUGGACAACAAGCAUAGGCAGGGUGCUAACGCUUAAUACCGAUGACUGCUCUAAGGGAAAUCCGGGAGUGUGUGGGGGAGGUGGUGUACUUAGGGAUUCGGAUGGAGGCCUCAUUUUAGCAUAUUCCGCAUUUUUAGGCAAGUCGGCCAGUCUAGGUGUAGAAGAUCAGGCAGUUUUGAUAGGUAUCAACUUGUGCAUUGAGAGGAGAAUUGAUUGAAUCUGCGUGCAAUCAGACUUCACUAUUUUGGUUGGCAUCUUGCAGCGACAGUUUCAGUGUCCUUUGAAGAUUCAGAGAACGGUGGAGCGUAUAUGGGAAAUGGUGGCAGAGGACUCUUGAUUCUCACAUUGGUAUUGAGAGUCAAGUAAGGUGGCGGACAUCUUAGCUAAUGUUGGGGUGUCCCAUCCUCAGGAAGCCAUGCGCAUUUAUGCCACGGUGGACAAGCUCCAAUCAUUGGCUCGAGGGGAAGGUUGGGUAGACUAGGCGUACCAUCUAUUUGAAAUAAGGUUGUUAAGAGUCGGUGUAUUGAAGUAUGAGGGCAAUGCCCCCUGUUAUGGGUUGUAAGUUUAUGCUUCUAUGAAUAAAGAGUAUUUACAAAAAAACAAAAAAAGAAACAACUAUAUGCAUUAUGUAUUUCAUUUGAUACUUAAUUAAUAACCAAUUAAAAUGCCAAAAAAAGGAAAAAAUUGUUGUUCAAUCAACUUAAUUUACAUAUAAUUGUUUGCACUAAAAGGGAUAUUUAAUUAGUGUUUAAUUAUCAAUGUUAGUGAAAGCAUAAUAAAACAUCUUAUCAAUCAACUAUUGAUAUAGCUAGACAUAUUAUGCCAAAUUUAAGAUCAACUAUGCACAAAAAGAAGAAACAAUUAGAAAUUCCUAUAUGAAUAAAUGCAAUAAAAAAUAAAAAGGAAAGUUUAUUUAGCUUUUUGUUUUUUAGUCUUAAAAUUUCUAGUGCAUAUAACACUAUUUCAACAGAAUUCAUUUAUAAUUUCAUCAUCAAACCCUUAAUAUCAUAUUUAGAAUUUAAGGAACCAUAAAGGAUGAAAAGUGUAAAGUCAAACUAACGACCAAACUGAAAUUUGAUUUUGACUUUUAGGAAUGGUAUCAAUCAUCCUAAAUCUCCUCAAAACUAGAAAGUUUGGAGAUGAAAUUUGUUUUUCUUGAAAUAUGUGGGACUAAUUUGACACACAAUCCAAAUAUUAGGGAACUAUUAUGAAAUAAUUGAAUAUUGUGGAUAUCUAUCACCUUUAUCUCAUCCCUUAGAUGGUGACAAGUCUUCCACACUUUUCAAGAUGAUAAAGCUAUCAUGACUUUUGAGGUGAUAAAGAUGACACGACUUUUAAUAAAACUAUUACGAAUCUCGAUAAAGCGAGGUGAUAAGCUCGUCGUAACUUAUGGGAAGAUUAUAUCACCAUCUUGAAGAAGUUAGCUGCUAUACUUUUUCCCUAUAAAUAGGGGUUAACCUUGACAGGUUGUCGAGGCCUGUGCAAUAAUAAAACCUGCUCAAACUAAAAGUGAUUUCUGUAGAUAGCGGUGAGCAGGGUCGAAUCCACAGGGACUGGGAGUAAUUAUUUCUUCUCAAGUUCACAGUAACAAGGGGGUGUUUUUGUGCAGAAGGUGACAAUCAAAGAAAUUCAACUAAAAUCUAAGAAACUACUAAAAAUUAAAUAACAAAUUACUAAAAUCUAAUGAGUGAUAAUUAAGGAUCUAGCCAAGGAAUAACUUCAGCAAUGGUUCACCUAAUUGAUCAUUGAAGCAAAGGCAAUUCCAAUUAUUUAUCAAUAAAUAGGUUAUAACUACCAAACAAGCGAUGACAAUCAACCCCUCCUUACUGUGUCGGUGAUCAAGGUACGCCCGUUAAUCACUGCUCUAAUUGAGAAAUAACCCUAGGUACGCCCGUAGAAUUUAAUUCCCCAAUUGCCUUACGUAUUAGAGGAGCCCUAUUCUAACCAAAUAACGCACUACCAGGGUUAUUUUAGAUUAGCCCGCGUAUCCCCCUGACACGAAUCUAAUCGUGCCAGUUGUCACUAUUUUGAGGUAAUUAAACAAUUACGGAUUUAAUACCCCAAUUGACAAUAGAUUACCCAAUCAAUUAAUUAUCCGGAUCCAAGACAACCAAUUAAUUAAAUAACCAUAAGCUUAGCAAUCAAGGAAUAUGCAAAUACCAAUAAAUAAAAGGAGAAGAUUAAAUUAAAUCGAUCUCACAGUUUUUAGAUGAAUCAAAGCAUCCAUUGCUCCUUGACUAGAAAGAGGGUUUAGCUCAUUAUUGAUGAGGGAAACCCAUGCAAAAUUGUAACAACAGCUGCGGCCAUUGUUCUUGCUCGCGCGAAUUCAACUCGGCCGAAGGAAUAAAGAAAAACGAGAAACUACGGAAAGUGAUUCAAUCUCUCAAUUGCCGUUGACAUGUCAAAGGAGAAGAUACUAUAAAGCUAACAAGAAAAGUCAACAAAAGCCACAUUGGCUCCUGACAUCCGUAAGAAGAAAACCAAAAAAGGUAAGAAAAGACUACAAAGGAAAAAUCAAAAGCAAGACUAAACUAAAAGAUGAGAAAUCAAAAGCUAAGCUAUUGCUCCUAUUCUAAUGGCUACUGUGCGGCUUCCGCCGCCCAGCCGAGAGAGGAAAAAGAAGACUUCGGCCUCCCCCUUUUAAUGUUGUCUUCGGGCCAAUUACCAAGAAGGGUUGCGGUUUGAUAUUCCAAAAAUGUCCCUAGAUGCCUGCUACUUGAACUCUUUCUUGAUAAUUGUCAAAUUGACACUUGUUAUGGUAUUUUCGUUCUACUCCCUGAAAUAAAUGCGAAAUAUAAAAAAUGAGUAGAAUCUAGCAAUUAAUCCACAUCAAGUCAGGUAAUAGGAGGAAUUAAUAAUAAAAUAAAUGAUAAAAUUGCAACCUAUCAAUUCCCCCCCACACCUAAAUCAUGCUUGUCCUCAAGCAUAAGAAAAGUACACAGACACCAAAAUUUGAUAAUGGUCAUUGCUCUAUCCAACAAAUUGCCAAGGUACCAAGAAAAAUAAUAAUCAAGCAUCAAUGGUCAAGUCCAAGAAACAUCAUCUCGGUUAGCUUCUAAACCACAAACUCCUCUAAUUUCAUGUUAACUAAUCUAAGAAAAAGGAAUAACGCAUAACAUUUAUCAGCAAAUGGUCCAACUAUUAACCAAAAUCUCAACAUUAAAUCCAUAAUUCGGCAAGCUGACUUUUAUUACACACUAACACAACCUUCACUUUUUUUUUCAUAUUUUUUUUCCUACUUUUCUCUCUUUUUUUUCUCUUUUUUUUUUCAAUAGUAACAAAAGACUUAGUCGCUAGCCAUUUAAGCCUUUUGACGCGAACUUCAACAUUGGCCGGAUGAAGGAGCCCGGUUACUCAGCUUCUAUCGCCACGUGACCACGUACUCAUAGCAAUUACUACUUUUUGAUGCGAGAAUCGACACUUUUGGUGAAAAUCCCCGGUUACUCGGUAGUAAAUACUAGCGGAGUACAGUCAAGUUUAUUCAUAGCUAAAAAUCACAAAAACUCAAUAUAACACAAGAACCAAAAGAAAACUUGCAUCAGCUAGCCUCAUUUUCAAACAUGGAGAACUAAAGUUAAUAACCGGACCAAUUCACAUGAAAAUGCCAAUAAUCAUUCCCUAUGCCUAGGAAAGUUAACUAAAAAUUAUAAGAGUAAAACAAUCAUCGAUAUUCACCAAAGAGAUGUUUUUGGAUUCAACCACAUGAACUUGAUACCCUUUUAUUAUUAAAACUUGGCAAAAGUAGAAAUAGAGGCAAUAAUCCAACAUCAAACCUUGGCAUGCACUUACGAGCCAAUCACUAAAAAGAAAAAAAAAAUGAAUGAAAGACACUAGCACCAUAAUUGCUCCCCCCCCCCCACACCUAAAUCCUACAUUGUCCUCAAUGGAGGUAAUAAAGUAAUGAAAGUGAAGAGGACAACGAAACUUCCCUCUUUGAGUGGCCAAGAGGUAGGCGGGGGCGGUGGAGGAAACCAAUGUGGUAGAAGUACGUGGCCAAGGUCUGAGACAUCAUAACUCAAUCCAACCAGUAAAUGCACAACUCUGUCCACCCAAAAUCUCAACAAAGUCUCCAAGUGGAUAAUUAAUUUUCAACUCAGAAGCGGCAAUUCCAGCAAUAGCAGUAUAGAAAUUAGACAAUAACCACACAAUCACAAGUUUUCCCUUUUUAAUCAGGCAGCCAACCCAUUAGAAAGAACAAAUAUUAGUCAAAAUACCCCAACCAGUACCACUGGUGCACAACGUAGGCCAAAAUCUAUGAAAUUAUUAUAGCAGAGUAGAACAGUAGUAAAGUAAUAGCCCCAAAUGUUAAUCCAACCCCAAGAAAGAGAACGUGCCACCCAAUGGAGUCAAAUUGUAACAAGGGCCCCAAUAAUAUGGCAUACCAGUGAUAGCAUUUUAGAAAUUGAAAAAAUCACAACCCAAUCACAAAACCUCAGCAGAUGCAAUUCAGUAGGCGCCAGUGAUCCCCAACGCACAAUUGAGAAGUAAAGUUAGUGCACUAAUAAUAUUCGAAAUCCAGCAAAGGUAGUCCAGGGGCAGAACAAAUCGAGGAGAAGCUACUAGUGAAGCAAUUCCAAUGGCUGACCCAAAGUAAUAAGAAUCUCAACUCACAGUCAAAAGGAAACUUGGCUCAACUAAAAUUUCAGCAAAUGUCCUCCGAAAUUUCACCAAUUGCCAUAGCAAAGCAAAGUAGCAGUAAAGCAAUGGCCUCAAGUACUAACCCAGACACAAGACAGAGGCUAAACCCCUAAAGGAAGGCAUCAGAGGACGGAAAUUCCAGGGAAUAAAGCAAGCAAAGGGGCCUUAGGUGGAAAUCUAGUGCACUGAAGUCAAUAAUCAAAACCAAUCCGGCUAGGAGGCAGAGGCUUGCACAAAUAAUUAGGCCCAGAAUUACAGAUAAAGUUUGGUCCCAACUCAAUGAUAUAAAUCAACAGGCAAUUGAAAUAAACUCCCGUGAAAUCCGAACUGGAAUCGAAGGAUAGAACACCCCAAACAAUGGCAAUAAAUUUUCCCGAUUUUAACAAGCAGCUCAAGUGGCACAAAAGCCACGCAACUCAACCCACAACCACAGAGAUAAUCCAACUGCGCCACAGAAACUCUGGGUCAUCGAAACCCAAACAAUCUCUAACAACUAUUCGAAUUAAUGCAAUAAUUAAAGCAGCAGAUGGGAGCCCAAUUGAUUCCAAACCUGUCGGAUGGGUUGGCGGCCAAGGAUGAACAGCGGCGCAGGCUGGUCGAGCAGGCGGAGACGCGGAGGAGCUGGAAGUGAGGAGGGCCGCGGCUGUGCGAGGGGAAACCAGACAGCGGCGGCAUGGGGAGCUGUAUGUCGCGUGCGAUUGAGAGUCUGAGUUGCGCGCGAGUUCGUGGCGCGCGGCUGUGGGCAUGAGGCCGAGACUCUGGAGGAAAUCCGGUGGCAGCACGAGCGGUGGAGAGCAGCGGCGGCGCACCAGCUGGUCGUCUGCUUGACGUGAGGUGCGGCAGUGGAGCGGUGGGGUUGCGUGCGGCAGUGGGCCGAGCCCGCGCCUGUGGCGGCGUGUGGACGGCGGCGGGCUGCUGGUCAAGGUAUCCGGACAACAGAGAGGGAGCAGAAAGAAAAGAGAAAGAAAGAAGGAGAAAGAAAGAAAAAGAAAGAAAGAAAAGAAAGAAAAGAAAAGAAGGAAAAAUUUUUUUUUUUUUUUUUUUAGUCAAAGAACUAGCUACGGUGAAGGAAAAAUUUUUCUUCUUCUUGUUUUUUUCCUUUUUUUUUCUUUUUUUCUUUUGGUUUUUCUAUAUUUAAUUGAUUAUUAUUAUAAAAUUUUUUUCUUUUUUUUAAAUUAAUUGAAUAAAUGAAAUAAUAAUAAUAGUUUUCCUAUAUUUUUCUUUUUUUUUUAUUUGAAUCCUUACCUUUCCUGCGAACGUGACGCGGGCACGUCAUGAGGGCAAGAGAGCUCCCACAAGUUUCAGAAGUUUCUGUUCGUGAGCUUCAUGCACGUCACCACGCGGGCGCGUCAUGACUGAAGGUCACCUACAAAUCAGCAAAAACGAAAAUUAACACCCAAAAUCAGUCAAAUUCAAGGAAAACAAAUUUAAACUAUGACACGAAACCAACAAACAACUAAAAGAAACAAUUGGGUUGCCUCCCAAUGAGCGCCUUUCUUUAAUGUCUUUGGCUAGACAUUAUCACGUUUUGCUCAUGGCGGAUAAAAUCUUGUAGCUCGUCUUAAUGCUUCAUCCUCUAUAUAGUCCUGAUAACCCUCGUAGAUGGAGUAAUUCUUGGGCACACGAGUUACGGGCUUCCAUGGACUAAUAAAUGGCGCUAAACAAGUCAACAAUGAUCUGCAUUCUCCACUCACUCCUCCAUCACACGCAUUCAUUGGUUCAAGAUAUUUUGCCAUCUCCACUCUUAACUUAUUCCUGUCAUGAAAUUUUAAAUUUUCUGGUAUAAUAAAAUCAAUUUCAGUAACAGGAGUUGAAGAAUGGGAGUCAGGAAAAUAUUGAUUAAGGAGUGGAGAAGAUGUCACCGUAUUUGGAGAUUGUUCACUGGAAUCGUUCACUUGAAUGAGUUGAUCCUGGAGUCUCAUUUCUUGCACUUCAGCUUCCUUUUCAACUGCAUCUUUAAAUCCGUUUUCUUGAAACUCUUGCAGUUCCAUGUCAUUUGGCCGGACAAUUGCACUCUCAUCUUCUUCUAGAUCAACAAUGGUUUCCGAGGGCAAUUCUUCCCUUUGAGAAGCCAAUCGAUUCACUCUGGAUGUCAAUAGACAUAGUUGAUCUGCCAGAUAAUUCAUUGCAUCCUUCAUCAUCUCAUCCUCCAUUUGUGUCUCCUGUUGGAAUUGGUAUGUGUUAGUAGCUAUUGGUUCAACUAUUUCUUCAGGAUACAUACCUGACAUAGAUGACGAUUCUUGAGACUCAUACUGCUGAAAAUUCAUUGGCCCCGUUGAAUAAUUAUAAUUGGAGUUAUCCCACCAUCCUUGAUCAUACCCGUAUGGAUUAGGGUCAUACCACGUUUGAGACCAGGGUGAAAAAUCUCCGUAAUUAUUGAAUGGGAUACUCUGAUUAUCUUGAUAUUCGGGGCACAUACCUGUUGAAUGAUCCCUGGCAUAACAAAUUUUACAGGUUGCAGCAGCCAUUCUUUUUCUAAUAGAGUUUACUGCCUCUGCAUAUGCAGACUCAGCAAUAAAACUAGUCAUAUCGCAUUUCCCGGAAAGAAAAUCCAGUAUUUCACCAAAAUACGAAGUGUUAGAAGCCAUAAAAAAAAUAAGAAAAAAAAAUAAAUUAAAAAUGAAAACAAGGUGAACUCAAAAAGAAACAAAUUAAUCUAACACCAGUCCCCGGCAACGGCGCCAAAAAUUGACAGGUUGUCGAGGCCUGUGCAAUAAUAAAACCUGCUCAAACUAAAAGUGAUUUCUGUAGAUAGCGGUGAGCAGGGUCGAAUCCACAGGGACUGGGAGUAAUUAUUUCUUCUCAAGUUCACAGUAACAAGGGGGUGUUUUUGUGCAGAAGGUGACAAUCAAAGAAAUUCAACUAAAAUCUAAGAAACUACUAAAAAUUAAAUAACAAAUUACUAAAAUCUAAUGAGUGAUAAUUAAGGAUCUAGCCAAAGAAUAACUUCAGCAAUGGUUCACCUAAUUGAUCAUUGAAGCAAAGGCAAUUCCAAUUAUUUAUCAAUAAAUAGGUUAUAACUACCAAACAAGCGAUGGCAAUCAACCCCUCCUUACUGUGUCGGUGAUCAAGGUACGCCCGUUAAUCACUGCUCUAAUUGAGAAAUAACCCUAGGUACGCCCGUAGAAUUUAAUUCCCCAAUUGCCUUACGUAUUAGAGGAGCCCUAUUCUAACCAAAUAACGCACUACCAGGGUUAUUUUAGAUUAGCCCGCGUAUCCCCCUGACACGAAUCUAAUCGUGCCAGUUGUCACUAUUUUGAGGUAAUUAAACAAUUACGGAUUUAAUACCCCAAUUGACAAUAGAUUACCCAAUCAAUUAAUUAUCCGGAUCCAAGACAACCAAUUAAUUAAAUAACCAUAAGCUUAGCAAUCAAGGAAUAUGCAAAUACCAAUAAAUAAAAGGAGAAGAUUAAAUUAAAUCGAUCUCACAGUUUUUAGAUGAAUCAAAGCAUCCAUUGCUCCUUGACUAGAAAGAGGGUUUAGCUCAUUAUUGAUGAGGGAAACCCAUGCAAAAUUGUAACAACAGCUGCGGCCAUUGUUCUUGCUCGCGCGAAUUCAACUCGGCCGAAGGAAUAAAGAAAAACGAGAAACUACGGAAAGUGAUUCAAUCUCUCAAUUGCCGUUGACAUGUCAAAGGAGAAGAUACUAUAAAGCUAACAAGAAAAGUCAACAAAAGCCACAUUGGCUCCUGACAUCCGUAAGAAGAAAACCAAAAAAGGUAAGAAAAGACUACAAAGGAAAAAUCAAAAGCAAGACUAAACUAAAAGAUGAGAAAUCAAAAGCUAAGCUAUUGCUCCUAUUCUAAUGGCUACUGUGCGGCUUCCGCCGCCCAGCCGAGAGAGGAAAAAGAAGACUUCGGCCUCCCCCUUUUAAUGUUGUCUUCGGGCCAAUUACCAAGAAGGGUUGCGGUUUGAUAUUCCAAAAAUGUCCCUAGAUGCCUGCUACUUGAACUCUUUCUUGAUAAUUGUCAAAUUGACACUUGUUAUGGUAUUUUCGUUCUACUCCCUGAAAUAAAUGCGAAAUAUAAAAAAUGAGUAGAAUCUAGCAAUUAAUCCACAUCAAGUCAGGUAAUAGGAGGAAUUAAUAAUAAAAUAAAUGAUAAAAUUGCAACCUAUCAAACCUUCUCUUGUAUCUGUGAUAGAAAAUUCAGGUAUCAUUUGAAUGAAUGAAAGAAUAGUUAUUUUCUUACUUUUCUCUUCUCCUGAGCUCUUUUAAAUUUCCCAUUUUCUUAGUAUAAUACCUACCACAUAGGGCUACAAACCAAUCGAACCACUCGCGAGCAGCUUAAGUCCGAACUCGACUCGAGCUCGAUCAACAUCAAGUUCAAGUCGAACUUGAGCUAAUCAAAUCAAACUUGAGAUCAAACUCGAGUUCAAAGAUAUUCAGCUCGUUAACUUGGGAGCUGACUCAAUUAUAUAUAUUAUUUUAUUUUAAUUAUAAAAUUACAUAUAUAUCCCUAAUAUUUUAUUAUUUAUUAAAAAUAAUUAUUUUAUUCAUUUUUAAAAAUAAAAUAAUUAUUUUUUAAACUCGAGCUCGAGGUCAAACUUUAUAUUUUGAUCUCAUCGAUGUCAAACUCAAGUUCGAACUUCAUAAAAUUAAGUUGAGACUCGAAUCAAUUCGGCUCGUUUGCACCCCUACUACUACAUAAAUAAUUCAAAUCCUAUAUCACAUUAGUAUUAGUUGGUCUAAGAAUUCGCUCGGUGAUAUUUUUGAGGUAGCUCAAUGCGCAGAGCACGAGGUAGUGGAUGCCGAGAUGAAAUACGACCUGAAUCCGACGGAUUAGCUACGCUAUGAGAUGCAUCAAGCUCGAGUGUGACUGCGGCGCAUGCUGAUACUCGAGGAGGGUUUUUGGAGGCAGAAAGCGCGGGUGAAAUGGCUUUCAGACAGGGACAGGAAUUCCAAGUUCUUUCACUCAUUGGUAGCGGAAAGGAGACAUCGGGCGAUGAUUCAUCGGGUUAGGAAGACGGAUGGAGUGUGGAUCGAAGAGGAGUCACAAAUUUGUGAUACUGUCGUGACCUUCUUCCAAGAGCUUUUCACGGUAGAGGAAGCUCAACAUCCAAUGAAAUUCUGAAUAUCAUCCCAAAAUUAAUCACUGCUCAGGACAAUUCGCUAUUAACGGAGAUUUCUUCUUUUCAAGAAAUCAAGGACGCAGUCUUUGCACUGGAUGAGGAGAGCGCUGCAGGGCUGGAUAGAUUCACAGGAAUAUUCUUUACCUUCGCAUGGGAGGUGGUAGCCACAGAUGUGUACAGGGCGGUAGUGAGCUUUUUCUGCGGUGUGGAGCUCCCUAAGAGUAUCACGGCUACCUCGAUUGUUCUAUUGCCAAGGCGGAAAACCCCCAAGACUUCACUCAGUAUCGGCCCAUAAGUCUGUGUAAUUUUGCUAACAAAAUCAUUUCCAAGCUUCUAUCAACAUAUUGGCCAAGCUAUUACCCCGGAUCAUAUAUCUACAGCAGAGCGAUUUUGUGCAAGGGAGACAGAUUGCGGAUAAUUUUUUACUAGCUCAAGAGUUAUUAACAGAUAUCAAGAAGUCAAAUCGGGGUGGUAACGUGGUGAUUAAUUUAGACAUGAUGAAGUGUACGAUAGAGUCUCAUAGUCCUUUCUUCUGCAAGUGCUCCGUCACUUCGGGUUCAGUGAGACCUGGAUAGGCAUGAUAUGGCGCCUGGUCUCUAAUGUCUGGUUUUCGGUGUUAGUUAAUGGGACUCCACAAGGUUUUUCCAAAUUUUCAUGGGGUUUACGACAAGGGGAUCCCAUAUCGCUGGCCUUAUUCGUUAUUGGAGCAGAAGUGCUGCCUCGAGCUCUAAGUACUUUAGUACAUAGAGGCGAUUCACUCCUUUUAAAGUACCUCCUCGUUGCCCUAUAGUAUCGCACUUGGCAUAUGCUAAUGAUGUGAUCAUAUUUUUCAGUGGUAUGAAAUAUUCACUAAAAUUGAUUAAAGAGGUACUGGAGGAAUAUAGUGUUGCAUCGGGCCAGCGGAUCAAUCGACAAAAAAGCUAUUUCUUGGUCCAUCCGUAGUUUCCAUCACAAAGGGCAAGCUUGAUUAGAUAGGUACUUGGAUUUUAAAAGCAGGCUUUCCCGAUACGAUACCUAGAAUGCCUGUUGUACGUAGGCAGGCGGAAAAAGGUUUACUUUGCCGAUAUAUAUGAUGUUGUGGCGGCUCGUAUCCUGUAAUGGAAGAAUCAGGUGUUGUCAGCUGGGGGUAAAGUGGUAUUAAUUAAGAGUAUGUUAUCCUCAAUGCCGAUUCAUUUACUUGCAGCUUCUUCUCCUCCAAAGGUGAUGUUCAUGGCCUUUGAGGAGUUAUUCGCAAAUUUCUUGUGGGGGUCAUCUGAUUUUGCUACUAAAUUCCACUGGAUGCAGUGAGAGGAUUUGUGUCGGCCACAGGAAGAUGGGGUAUUGGUCUGCAAGGUAUUAAGGAGGUCUACGACUCAUUCUCGAUUAAACUCUGGUGGAAAUUUAGGCAACAACAAUCGUUAUGGGCAGAGUUUAUGUCAAGAAAAUAUUGUGCAGGGUUGCAUCCUUGUCUAGUUGAGGAAAGCCAUUGGAGUUCCCAUACCUGGAAGAGGAUGGUUUCGGUGCAACAAGUAGGGAAGGACAACAUUAGCUGGAUUGUACAGCAAGGUUCGAUGAAUUUUUGGCACGACAACUGGAUGGGGUCAGGAGUGUUAAGCAAGAAGGUGGAGAUCUUCCAUUACCAUUUGGUGGCUGAUUUUGUUGCUCGGGGGGACAGGAAUAUUGCCAUGCUUAAUCAACAUUUGGAUGUGGGUCUGGUCGGGCGUGUUCUGGAGGUCACGCCCCUGUCUUUUCGGGACAAUGAUAAAAUGAUUUGGGCUUUGACAAAUUCUGGCACAUUCUCCACAUCAUCGGCCUACUCACUUGUCCAAUGGGUUAAUAACAAAUCAUGGUUUUUUGCCUUUGUCUGGCAGCAGGGUCUUCCAAUUAAAAUUUCAUUCUUUAUGCUGUGAUUGCUACAGGGCAGGCUCCUUCUUAUGGACCAAUUGAGGAGAUUGGGGAUAAGCAGCCCUUCCAGGUGGUGGUAUUGCUAGGAUCCAUGGAAGGAGGACCUGAAUCAUGUUUUUUGUUCAAGAGAAAGGGCAAGAUUGGUUUGGCGUUACUUCGAGAUUGAUGCUGGUGAAAUGGGGGAGGUGAAUACAGUGCGACACAUGGCAUUGUUUUGGCAGUUAAGGAAAGGGGAUAACAUAUAUUUGAAGUUUUUGAGUAGUAUACUUCCAUCGAUUAUUUGCUAGGAAUUAUGGAGGGUAAGGAAUAGGGGGAUUUUAGAAGGACAGAGAAUGAGGGUCAGGGGAGACUGUGACUCAGAUAACCCAACUACUAAGUGACAUCUUUCAUGUACAGUUCUCGAGGAUGCAGUGGUCAAAUUUCUCGUGGGAAGGGAUGCUUCGAGAUUUGGUUAAUCGACAAAAGAGGCUGAUCAUUCAGUCGGUCAGUUGGGUAUCCCUGUAGGGGGGGUGUAAGGUAAAUUCAGAUGGGUGUUCUCGGGAGAACCUAAGAUUGAGUAGAGGAGGUGGUCUAGUGCAUGAUCGACACACUAAUUUUGUAUUUGGUUAUUCGGAGCACUUUGGGAUGAUGACUAGUCUACAUGCGGAGCUUCAAGCAUUGCUGCUUGGUGUUAGAUACUAUAUUGCUCGAGGAUACUUGGAGUUACACUUAGAGGCUGAUUCUCUUAUUCUUAUUCGGAUCAUUCAAGGGGUUAGUGCUUGCCCAUGGCGGUUGUAAAGGGAAUUGGAUGAGUUGCUUAUGUUUAAACAACAUUUUCACACGAUUUCACAUUGUUACAGGGAAGCGAAUGCACCGGCUUAUCAUCUUGCAAAUUUUGGUGUUGAUUCCAAUGCAGGACAGGUUUUCAGAUCUAGAGAGGGAUAUUAGAAUGGAUAAGUUGGGGUUUCCAUCAUUUCGUAGACAGGUAAUUGGUUAUCUGUGAAUGUAUCCAUCCAUUGUAAGCAUGAUUUUAGCAUUAAUGGAAAGUUCAAUUUAAUUAAAAAAAGAUUAUUUUCUUGUUUUUUCUAUUGUACAAUUUUUGAAGCAUUCCUAUGGCGUUCAAAAAUAUUCAAUAUUAAUUGUUUAAGAAAUGAUUUCUCACAUUGUGUGUUUGAUAAAAUGUCUAGGAGAAAAACUAUGUAACUGUAGACACCAAAUUUUGAAUAAUUUGUAUGUGGCAUCUACUUCAUGAUUUUUAUUUCAGAUCGCUUGCAUUUGGUUCAUUGUUGUGUGUUUUGCAUUUCUAGUUGUUAUUUUAUUUUAGUUUUAUUCAUUUUGCCCUUUUAGUUUGUCUAUUCAUUUUUAUUUUGUCAUUUUUAGGUUUUUAAUCACUUUUAAGUUUUAGAUUUUAGUUUUUAGUUUUUAGUUUUUAGUUUUUUUAGUUUUUAAGUUUAUAGAGUUUUUAGAAAGAAAAGAAAAAUCUUUUUAGUCAUUUUGUUUUUAUUCGAUGCUUUCUUGAAAGAAAAAUGAAAAUGCAAAAUUAUAAAAAGGAGAAAAAAAAGAAAAAGAGGAAAAGAAAAAAAAAAGAAAAAAAGAGAAAGGAAAAAUUGUUCACAAAAAUAUGUUUAUUUCUUUAAAUUCAAUCUUUGGGCACUUUAGUUAUUUUUAUUAAGUUAUUUUGAGAAAAAGAAAAUGAUGAAAAGAGAAAAAUUGAAAGUUAAAAAAUGGCCAUUUUUGUUUAGUUUUUUGUUUAAAAUUAUUUUUUGUUUUGUUAUUAUUAUUGUUACCUGGUUUGUGUAAUUUUGUUAUUAUUAUUAUUUAUAUUUUAUUUUAUCAUUUCUGUAAUUAUUAUUGUAAAAAAAAAAUAUAUAUAUAUAUAUAUAUUUUGUCGCGGCAUGCACGCUGCAAUUUUUUGCAGCGUGCAAAGGACAUUCGUAAGAGACAAUUGGAGGGUUGGAUUUCACAGGGGUAACAAGCCCUCAUCCUCAUCGUUGAGAUGAGGGUUUUAGGAGAUUUGGAAGUGGAUAUAAAAGGUAAAAGAGCUACAGCCGCAAAGAGGAAAAAGGGAGAGCACGGCUGAAAGAGAAAUUCUGAAGGAAACCAGAAAAAGGGAGAUUAGGGAGUGACGGAUAUGCCUGGGGGAAGAAACAGAGAGCUGUACAAAAGGUUCAGGCAGGGAAAAGGGAUAAAGAUCUGAGAAAAGAAACAAGAGGGAAGAGAGGCUUGGGAGGCUGAGAAGAAAACGGCAAAAGAAAAGCUACGGGAAGGCCAUUUGGUGGCUGGAAGAGAUAAAACAACCGAGGACUACAGGGGUCUAUUGGAAGACAAGAAGCAACGGCCGCGGAGGGGAGGUUUUUUUUCAGAAAAAGAGUGAACGGCUGUAGACAGAAAACAAGAGAGAACGGAGAGGUUUUUGGGUGAACGGCUAAGGAAAACUGAGAAGCAGAAAACCAGAAGGCUACAAAGAGAUUGGAGAAAACUUCAAGGAGAAAGCUGAGAGAGGGCCGAGAGUAAGAAAGGGCUGGCAUAUUGGAGAAAGGACUGGAGUAGCGUGGAAGGGCUAGAGAGAAAACGAAAGGAAAGGAACAACCGAGGGAGAGAGAGCUGACGGCUGAGUGGCUCCAGGAAGAAUCUGAAUAGCAAGAAAGAAAGAAAAAGGUUUCUGGUUCGUUGGAACAAAGAAAAAGAAUCCGGAGGUACAGCUACAAGAGAGUCAGAGAGACAAAGAUUUCAUCUUUUGGAAUACAUCAAGCUUCGGUCAAGCAUUAAAGGUAACAUUUUUUACUUUGGACUGGAUUAUAAGUUGCUCAAUCAUGUUUGAAUACUGAAAGUCUUGGUCUUUACACUUGAUUACGUCCUCCAUGCGAGUUUCUAUCCGUGAAUCUGGUUUGAGUUGGAAGGAGAAGGGAUUGACGUUUAGCUGUGUUUGUGCUUAAUGUUCAUGGCUGUUUCUUUUGGUGGUCUUUAUGCACAAUCUGAGUUUGUGGGCUGGCUAGGCUCUGAAUUCCAUUGUUAGAUUAGAAAAGGGAAAUAGUGGCUAAAGAAUGUGUUUUUUAGCUUGCCGAAUGUGUCUAUUGCAUGAUUUGUUUGGUUGGAUUCCUGCAGCAGUAGUGGGUAUGAUUGCAUUUUCAUUUGAAUUCAUGUUUCAUGGCGUCUUCCCGCAUGGUUGAAAGUCAGAAAUUGCAGGAAUUUCUGGAGUUUGUUGAUAGAUUUGAUUGCAGAAAGUUUACCUCUUCCAUAACUUACAUGAAGUUGGCUGCAACAAGCUAAAAGCCUUUGGUUUGUUGCAGCAACAUGGGUCAAUUUCUGUGGUCUUUGUCUUUCGCUGGUUUAAGCUUGGAGUUCAUGAUGUCUUUGAUCUUUGGCUAAAUGCAUCCUGGACAUGUUAGCUGCAGGUUACAUUUUUUCUGUUGAGAAUUGUAUUUCCUGCCAUGAUAAUGAACCAAACCUGGAAAAUUCCAGCAAGCUUUGAUUGCAGAAUGUUCGUUGCCUUGCAUGAAUUCCUUGAUGAGUUAACAUAGUUUCCUUAUAUGAUUUUUGCUUGCUUGGGUUACGGUAGUUGUGCAGUUGUUAGUUAGUUCAAAGCUUAGAAGAUUGAUUAAGAAGUUUUCUAAUCUAUUCUUGGGUACCGAGGCUUCUAAGCUUGGGAAGCAAAUUGAAAAAGCUUGCUGCACUCUUUCUUCUUUUGCUGUUUUGAUCUUCAUUCCACCCUUGAUGAUCAGCUCCCUUUCUUGAUUCAAUCAUGUAAUGAAACUGCAUGUUUAGUGAAUGAUGGAUAGGUAGGAUCUUGGUGCUGAAUAAAUCUGGUUUGCAUGAUUGAAAUGAAUAGAAAAAGCUGCGGCUGAAGUAGUUUUUCUUUGCAGAAAAUUUUUAGAUUUACAUAUUCCCAUUCUAAGUUUUUCUUUUCUUUCUUGGCUUGUUUGAAUGCUGAGUUCCGUGAGUUCAUUGUUUGGGAUUAAGGCUUUGAUGUUGGGAUGGGAUAUGAACUGGGUUGUGAUGGAAAAUUGCAUUGGAAUGGACACCACAAUUGUAGCCAAGAUGUGUUUUUUAAAAUUGUGGUAACCGGGCACCUGUGGUGGAAGUUCUUGUUCAAUGCACCUGAAUUUGUAAUUUGAUUUUCACCUUGAGAUCUUUCUUUUGCAUGUUAAUAUUAUGCCUUAGUGAUGAGUUGAGUUUGGAUUGGCAAACAAAUGGGUUUUUGUGCUUUUUCUGGUAUGAAUACGCAUGGUUUGAAGCUGUCCAAGCUUGCGGCAGAAAUUUGCAGAAGUAAAAAAAAAAUUUCAGUUUUCUACGUAGCAUGCAUGAAAUGUGUUCUAAAGUUUGCGCUUUAACCCCUCAAGUUUCCCCUUAUGCCACUAUGACCCAGAAAAUUGAGAAAAUUAAUCAAUUUGGUCCCUAUGAUUUUGCAGCAAUGUCACAAGGACCCAAUUACAUUCCAUGUUCUUGCAAUUAGGUCCUAAGGUGUUUGCAUUUGAAUCAUUAAUUGAUCUUUAUUAUUUUGGGGACCUUUGAAGCUCUUUGAUGAUUCAUUUUGACGUUGAUUGUGAUUGAUUAGUGGUCAUUAUUGGGUCCUAGAAAUGCAAGUUUAAACCAUUCAUGGACCUUCAUUCACUCUUGGAUUCUUGAGAUAUAAUGUUUGCUUGGACUUUAUUUUUUUACUUGGGGACUUUUGAGUUUUUUAAAUGCUUCAAUUAGGUUCAAAUGAUUUGAGUAGUGCUUGCAUUUGGGUCUUUAGUGGAUGUUAUGCUUGGGGAUUGGAUGAUCAUGCCUUUUGCCUUGGUCUUUAAGUAGUUUUGACUUCAUUGAGUUGCAAUUGAGGGGAAGUUUUGAUGUUUUGGUGGAUUUAAAUUGUUUAGUUUAUAUCUUAUCACUAAAUUGGUGCAUUAAUCUUUUGUUUUUGGUGAUUUUAGCCUAAGCUAGUCUUUUCUUGGGUGACUCUAGCCAAGUUGAGUUUGUUUACUUCCUUAGUAUCACCAACGGGGAGGUAUAAUCUCUUUUACCCCUUUUGUUUCUCUCCUAUGUGGACUAAUGUGCUCAUUGAAAUUUGCAUGUCUACUUGCUUUCCUAGCCUCUCCUUAUUUCCUUUCAUUUAUUUCAUUUACUUAAGUUAUUCUUUUAAUGGGGUAUGUGUACACCUCUUGGCUUGUAAUAGAUAGGGCGUAGCAAGUAAUUUGGUCCAUUUCCCCUUUCCCCUUUGUUUUAGUUAGCAAAUGUAAUGGUUGCAUGCCUACGUGUUAAGUGUUUAAUCGCUUUAUUAGGCCCUUGCAUCUAGUCAAGCAUGCUAAGUGUUAUGUGCUACGUGUUUAUAAGUGAUUCGCAUGUCUACUCGCUUUUUAUAGUGUGGAUGAAUGGAAUGAAUGAAUGUACGUCACCACACUAGUCCAACGCUAGUUGCGGCUUCUUUUAUCGUUUCCACUAGUCCAACGCUAGUCGGAAUUCAUAGAAUGGGCUAGUCCAAUGCUAGACCCAAUAGGUUCUUUUUUCCCUUUUUCAUUAAGUGCAUGAUCACCACAUAUCACGCAUUUUUCCUUAGUUUAUCAUUUGGUAUGUUCCUCAAACCUCUUCCCCUUCACUUUAGGACUUGCAUCUCAUGCUAGUUAGGGUUCAUUUGCGUGAAAAUCCCCUCUUGAUAAGGGAAACGAGCGAGUGUGGCUACUCGAUAGCCUUAGCACGCUAGUUUUACCUUCUAAUCCGAGGGAAAAUAAAAGUCGAAAAUUAGGCGUUAUCCCCGUAC